rnacentral:tmRNA from 1 species
GGGGGCGUUACGGUUUCGACGGGGAGCUGUGACGACAGGGGUAGCGAGCCGAGAUCCCGCCGACCUCGUUAAACGGUGGAACGCACGAUAAGUGCCAACAACGAGUACGCUUACGCUG